rnacentral:tRNA from 1 species
GGACAGGUGUCCGAGUGGCUGAAGGAGCCGGUCUCGAAAACCGGUAAACCCGUAAGGGUUUCGAGGGUUCGAAUCCCUCCCUGUCCG